rnacentral:rRNA from 1 species
UACAGAGGGUGCAAGCGUUGUUCGGAAUUAUUGGGCGUAAAGGGCGCGUAGGCGGUGCGGUAAGUCUGCGGUGAAAUCUCCCGGCUCAACUGGGAGGCUGCCGUGGAAACUGCCGUGCUUGAGUGUGGGAGAGGUGAGUGGAAUUCCCGGUGUAGCGGUGAAAUGCGUAGAUAUCGAGAGGAACACCUGAGGUGAAGACGGGUUGCUGGGCCGACACUGACGCUGACAGCGCGAAAGCCAGGGGAGCAAACGGG